rnacentral:rRNA from 1 species
UGCCAGCAGCCGCGGUAACACGGGGGGCGCAAGCGUUAUUCGGAAUUAUUGGGCGUAAAGGGCGCGCAGGCGGUCUUGUCCGUCAGGUGUGAAAGCUCGGGGCUCAACCCCGGAAGUGCACUUGAAACAGCAAGACUUGAGUCAGGUAGAGGUCGGCGGAAUUCCAGGUGUAGCGGUGGAAUGCGUAGAUAUCUGGAAGAACACCGAUGGCGAAGGCAUCUCUCCGGGCCGAUAUUGACGCUGAGGCGCGAAGGCGUGGGUAGCGAACGGGAUUAGAUA